GAUGAACGCUAGCGGCAGGCUUAAUACAUGCAAGUCGUGGGGCAGCAGGUCUGUAGCAAUACAGAUGCUGGCGACCGGCAAACGGGUGCGGAACACGUACACAACCUUCCUUUAAGUGGGGAAUAGCCCAGAGAAAUUUGGAUUAAUACCCCGUAACAUAAUGAAGUGGCACCACUUUAUUAUUAUAGCUACGGCGCUUAAAGAUGGGUGUGCGGCUGAUUAGAUAGUUGGCGGGGUAACGGCCCACCAAGUCGACGAUCAGUAACUGGUGUGAGAGCACGACCAGUCACACGGGCACUGGGACACGGGCCCGACUCCUACGGGAGGCAGCAGUAAGGAAUAUUGGUCAAUGGACGCAAGUCUGAACCAGCCAUGCCGCGUGGAGGAUGAAGGUCCUCUGGAUUGUAAACUUCUUUUAUUUGGGAAGAAAUCUAUCUUUUCUUGGAUAGUUGACGGUACCAGAUGAAUAAGCACCGGCUAACUCCGUGCCAGCCGCCGCCGUAAAAC
rnacentral:rRNA from 1 species